rnacentral:piRNA from 1 species
UUGGGAUCUGAUUGGCAGGAGACC